rnacentral:miRNA from 1 species
UGUGUGUGUGUAUGUGUGUGUGUGUGUGUGUGUGUUCAUACAUAUACUCUCACACACAUACCUACACACUCACACA